UACGAAGGACCCGAGCGUUAUCCGGAUUUAUUGGGUUUAAAGGGUGCGUAGGCGGACUUAUAAGUCAGUGGUGAAAUCUCCAGGCUUAACCUGGAAACUGCCAUUGAAACUGUUUGUCUUGAGUACAUUUGAGGCGGGCGGAAUGUGUCAUGUAGAGGUGAAAUUCUUAGAUAUGACACAGAACACCAAUUGCGAAGGCAGCUCGCUAAACUGUAACUGACGCUGAAUGGCACGAAAGCGUUGGGUAGCAAACAGGGAUUAGAAACCCCGGAU
rnacentral:rRNA from 1 species